rnacentral:rRNA from 1 species
GAGUUUGAUCCUGGCUCAGAACGAACGCUGGUGGCAUGCCUAAUACAUGCAAGUCGAACGAGAAAGCUACUUCGGUGGUUAUUACAGUGGCGCACGGGUGAGUAACGCGUAGAUGAUGUGCCUUUUAGUGGGGGACAACCUCGUGAAAACGGGGCUAAUACCGCAUAAGCUUGGUGAAAUUGAAAAAACCAAGGAAAGGGGGCUUCGGCUCUCGCUAGAAGAUCGGUCUGCGUAGCAUUAGCUUGUUGGUGGGGUAAUGGCCUACCAAGGCUACGAUGCUUAACUGGUCUGAGAGGAUGAUCAGUCACACUGGAACUGAGACACGGUCCAGACUCCUACGGGAGGCAGCAGUAGGGAAUAUUGCGCAAUGGGGGAAACCCUGACGCAGCAAUGCCACGUGAGUGAGGAAUGCCUUCGGGUUGUAAAGCUCUGUCCUAUAGGAAGAACUGCCUUGUGGUUAAUACCCACUUGGUUUGACGGUACUAUAGAAGAAAGCACCGGCUAACUCCGUGCCAGCAGCCGCGGUAAUACGGAGGGUGCAAGCGUUGUUCGGAUUACUGGGCGUAAAGCGCGCGCAGGCGGAUCAGUCAGUCAGAUGUGAAUCUCGGGGCUCACCUCGAAACUGCGUCUGAAACUUCUGAUCUAGAGUAUCACAGGGGGUAGGGGAAUUUCACGUGUAGGGGUAAAUCCGUAGAGAUGUGAAGGACACCGGUGGCGAAGCGCUACUGGAUGAUACUGACGCUGAGCGCG